UCAGAAAUCCUUUAAAAAGUGUCAUCAAUUCUCAUGAAAUUAAGAAAAAAAGCCAAUUUUUAAAAUAAGAUUUCUAUAUUGGAAACUUUAUUCUUCACAAAUAAAUUAUUCCCUACAUGAAUCAUUCUCAAAAUGUAUUCUCUCAAAAAUAAAACCGAGUGAAUUCUGUUAUCAGCAUGAGGCAUUUAUGACCCGAAGAAGCUAACGAACAAGAUCCAAAAAAAGAGGUCAAGGCUGAAGCCUAAUGACUGGGUUUCCAGUUUAAGUCAGCAGGUUCAACACACUAGCCUAAUUCUCUUUUCUCAUAUGGUAGCAUUAAAACAAUGGAAAAGGUUUUAUUUGUUUGUUUGUUUUGUUUUCCCUGAAGUGAAAUCCUACAUUGAGUAUUGGGGAAAAGUGGAAAAGGUGUUCAGGAGGGCUGUUUAUAAAGCAUUUCACGUGUAAAAUAAAACUUGUCUUAUUUGGCAGUCAUGGGCGUCACCAGCCUGCCUGCCUGCUUUUCUGCUCAUGAAACCCACAGAAUGCUCUGAAUGUUGACAUGUCUUUCAUUCCAGGAAGAAGCCUUUUGGGAUCAUGUAUUUCACAGUGCAGAUGAAACAAUAUGAAUUACCCAUACAAAUCAAUGUCGUUUUUCACUUAGAAAAGUAACUAGGAUUAUCAGAUCCAAGAAUCAUCAAUCAGAUAUUUAGGGGAAAACUGUAUUUAGAUGAAUGAAAAGGGCAACUGAUGCCAGAAGACUCAAGUACAAUUCAGGGAUUACCAGAAGCUUUUAAAAAGGUGUCUAAUACCCUCAGCAGAAUUUGAGAGGAAGGCUAGGCACGGUGGCUCACUUCUAUAAUCCUAGCACUUUGGGAGGCCAAGGUGGGCAGAUGACCUGAGGCCAGGUGUUGGAGACCAGCCUGGCCAACAUUGCAAAACCCCAUCUCUACUAAAAAUGCAAAAAUUUGCUGGGCAUGGUGGCAGGCGCCUGUAGUCCCAGCUACUUGGGAGGCUGAGACAAGAGAAUCACUUGAACCUGGGAGGUGGAGGUUGCAGUGAGCCGAGAUCAUGCUAGUGCACUCCAGCCUGGGGAACAGAGCGAGACUCUGUUACCAAAAAAAAAAAAAAAAAAAAAUGAAUU